rnacentral:rRNA from 1 species
UCGUGGAUAUGAUCUGUCUGGUUUAUUCCGAUAACGAGCGAGACCUCAGCCUGCUAAAUAGUCAAGCUAACUUUGGUUGGUAUUGACUUCUUAGAGGGACAACUUGUGCAAACAAGAGGAAGUUGAGGCAACAACA